AUUAGAUGAGCCUAUAUUAGAUUAGCUAGUUGGUGGAGUAAUAGCCUACCAAGGCAAUGAUCUAUAGCUGAUCUGAGAGGAUGAUCAGCCACACUGGAACUGAGAUACGGUCCAGACUCCUACGGGAGGCAGCAGUGGGGAAUAUUGGACAAUGGGCGAAAGCCUGAUCCAGCCAUGCCGCAUGAGUGAAGAAGGCCUUUGGGUUGUAAAGCUCUUUUAGUGAGGAAGAUAAUGACGGUACUCACAGAAGAAGUCCUGGCUAACUCCGUGCCAGCAGCCGCGGUAAUACGGAGAGGGCUAGCGUUAUUCGGAAUUAUUGGGCGUAAAGGGCGCGUAGGCUGAUUAAUAAGUUAAAAGUGAAAUCCCGAGGCUUAACCUUGGGAUUGCUUUUAAAACUAUUAAUCUAGAGAUUGAAAGAGGAUAGAGGAAUUCCUGAUGUAGAGGUAAAAUUCGUAAAUAUUAGGAGGAACACCAGUGGCGAAGGCGUCUAUCUGGUUCAAAUCUGACGCUGAAGCGCGAAGGCGUGGGGAGCAAACAGGAUUAGAUACCCUGGUAGUCCACGCUGUAAACGAUGAAUGUUAAAUAUGGGAAG
rnacentral:rRNA from 1 species